UACGUAGGGUGCGAGCGUUUGUCCGGAUUUAUUGGGCGUAAAGAGCUCGUAGGCGGUUUGUCGCGUCGGCCGUGAAAUCUCCACGCUUAACGUGGAGCGUGCGGUCGAUACGGGCAGACUUGGAGUUCGGUAGGGGAGACUGGAAUUCCUGGUGUAGCGGUGAAAUGACGCAGAGUAUCAGGAGGAACACCGGUGGCGAAGGCGGGUCUCUGGGCCGAUACUGACGCUGGAGAAG
rnacentral:rRNA from 1 species